GACGAACGCUGGCGGCGUGCUUAACACAUGCAAGUCGAACGGUAAGGCCCUUUCGGGGGUACACGAGUGGCGAACGGGUGAGUAACACGUGGGUGAUCUGCCCUGCACUUUGGGAUAAGCAUGGGAAACUGGGUCUAAUACCGGAUAGGACUACGCGAUGCAUGUAGUGUGGUGGAAAGCUUUUGCGGUGUGGGAUGGGCCCGCGGCCUAUCAGCUUGUUGGUGGGGUGAUGGCCUACCAAGGCGACGACGGGUAGCCGGCCUGAGAGGGUGUCCGGCCACACUGGGACUGAGAUACGGCCCAGACUCCUACGGGAGGCAGCAGUGGGGAAUAUUGCACAAUGGGCGCAAGCCUGAUGCAGCGACGCCGCGUGGGGGAUGACGGCCUUCGGGUUGUAAACCCCUUUCAGCACAGACGAAGCGUAAGUGACGGUAUGUGCAGAAGAAGCACCGGCCAACUACGUG
rnacentral:rRNA from 1 species